rnacentral:rRNA from 1 species
AUUGAACGCUGGCGGCAGGCCUAACACAUGCAAGUCGAGCGGAUGAAGGGAGCUUGCUCCUGGAUUCAGCGGCGGACGGGUGAGUAAUGCCUAGGAAUCUGCCUGGUAGUGGGGGAUAACGUCCGGAAACGGGCGCUAAUCCCGCAUACGUCCUGAGGGAGAAAGUGGGGGAUCUUCGGACCUCACGCUAUCAGAUGAGCCUAGGUCGGAUUAGCUAGUUGGUGGGGUAAAGGCCUACCAAGGCGACGAUCCGUAACUGGUCUGAGAGGAUGAUCAGUCACACUGGAACUGAGACACGGUCCAGACUCCUACGGGAGGCAGCAGUGGGGAAUAUUGGACAAUGGGCGAAAGCCUGAUCCAGCCAUGCCGCGUGUGUGAAGAAGGUCUUCGGAUUGUAAAGCGCUUUAGGUUGGGAGGAAGGGCAGUAAGUUAAUACCUUGCUGUAUUGACGUUACCAACAGAAUAAGCACCGGCUAACUUCGUG